ACAACCAAACACCCAGAGCAACCAUUGUCUUUUGAAAACGCUUUCAGUUUGUUCGGUCUCCAACCACUACACUUUUCAGAAAUUACCUUAGUGCCCUUUGAAUGAAUCUAGACAACGCCACACCGCUGUGUAUUUAUAACUGCCAAAAAUCAAUUGUCUGAUAUUUUUCAAGGAAGCAUAUGAAUCAUAUCAUAGAAAUCACUACAUGUAUUUGACCAAGCCAAAGCUAGGUCGUUCAUUGUCAAUGUUAAUGUUAUGUACAGUUGUAUAUUUAGAAGAGUGACAACUAACAUAUACGUAUCAUUUUUUAAUAUUUAUAAAUAUUGUACUAAAGUCUAGUAUAGUGAAUAUCUGUCAGUUUUUAGCCGGGUUUUCCGUAGGAAUCCGGUUAUUGAAGUUCGGGCGGCCAAAAGAGUACCCCUUUUGUAGGUAUAACUCUUCCUACAAUUUUCUAGAAAGGACAUUUUUGUUUUGUACAUAUAUCAGUGAUUGCAUAUUACUUUGAUGUUGAUUUUUGAUAAUUUUUGCGAAAAAGUACCAGUUGUUGUACUUUGUAGGUUUUCUUGGCAAAAUAUUGCAUACCCAAUUUCUCUGGAUAGGAAGUUUUUAUCAAUUUAGGACUGACAAAUGGAUUAAAGAUACUGUACACACAAAAGGAACGCCAGAUAGGUGGAAUAACACAUCAUCACAAAAUGGCUGAUCUCUGAUCGAAACGACAUUUCGUUUCAUUAAGAGGGAUUUAUCUACGGCAGUUUGUAACUUGCACCAUAGCCGAGUGGAUAAAGUGUCGGGAUUGUGAUCCGUACAUCCAGAAUUCAAGUUCCACAGGGACUUUUUUUGUUACCUACUGAAUUUAUUUCUUUUUAAUUCAUUCUUUUCCCCAAACUGCAAAUUUUCGCUUAUUUGACAGAUGUACAGUUUAUUUACCAUUAUAUCAAAUAAUUUCCUGCAGGGACAUAUAUACUGUUAUUAAUUUGAGUGACUUUUUCCAGAUGUGUUAUUCCACCUAAACAGCUUUUCUCGGGUUAUUUCUUUGUUCAUAGCAGUUUAAUAAUGCUUAAAGAUAUUUUUUUAUAGUUUCGCACAAAAUAAUGUUUGUUUUUUUAAACAUCAUAUAACUUACAAUAUUAUUAAUAUAAGCCUGGUCCCCGAGGCCUGCCGGAAUAUCCCGGAAGGCCUCGGGAACCAUACUGAAGUGCUUGCAGUUCGGAAUCCCUCGCAAACCAGGCUAUAUGAAUAAACCAUUCGAUUUUUUGCCCUGUUGUGAUGAAUUUUUCGGUAGAAUUCGACAAAACUUGAGAAGAAUAGGGGCGCACAUGGCCUGUUUAUCUCUCGCAUUCUAAAUGUACGAACGACAAAGAAUUUUUUUUUACUGAUACGGUCUAUCUUGUUACUCCAACUAGGGGAUAUCUAACGCCUCAAACGCCCCCGUUCUUUAAUCAAGGCCAGUAAUAUAUUGACUUGAGGUUAUUAUGACAAACAUAGCAUGACUUUUUUUCUUGCCACUACUUUUUUCAUUACUUUAGACUUUUAAAAAUAAGAUUAAUUGUUAACAAGUAUUUUUUAAAAUAAAUACAUGUAUAUCGU
rnacentral:misc_RNA from 1 species